rfam:Triticum aestivum genome assembly, contig: Triticum_aestivum_CS42_TGACv1_scaffold_220601_3B
CAUAUACCGAAAAUACUUGUCAUCAAAAUGGACAAAAAUGAAUGUAUCUAAUACUAAAAUGCGUCUAGAUACAUUCCCUUUUAUUCAUUUUGAUGACAAGUAUUUCCGGACGGAGGGAGUAGCUG